rnacentral:tRNA from 1 species
GCCCGUGUAGCUCAACCGGUAGAGCGUCCGCCUUGUAAGCGGAGGGUUGCCCGUUCGAGUCGGGCCACGGGCU